UUCGCAAUGCCCGAAAGGGUGACGAAGCGACGCCGCGUGGAUGAAGAAGGCCUUCGGGUUGUAAAAUCCUGUCAGGAGUUAAGAAAUAUAAGUUUGAGAAUAUCGAAUUUAUUUGACAAAAGCUUCAGAGGAAGCCACGGCUAACUCUGUGCCAGCAGCCGCGGUAAUACAGAGGUGGCAAGCGUUGUUCGGAAUUAUUGGGCGUAAAGAGCACGUAGGUGGAUUUGUUAGUCAGAUGUGAAAGCCUUUUGUUCAACGGAAGAAUUGCAUCUGAAACUACAAACCUUGAGUGUAGGAGGGGAGAAUGGAACUUCUGGUGGAGCGGUGAAAUGCGUAGAUAUCAGAAGGAACGCCGGCGGCGAAAGCGAUUCUCUGGCCUAUUACUGACACUGAGUGUGCGAAAGCUAGGGGAGCAAACGGGAUUAGAUACCCCGGUAGUCCUAGCCGUAAACGAUGGGACUAAGUAGAGGGGUUUU
rnacentral:rRNA from 1 species